rnacentral:lncRNA from 1 species
GAGGAGCCAAUUGAGGGGUAACGGUAGGGAGUCUUACCAUCGUAUCAACUCUCCCGCCACCGUCGCCAGCCCUAGGGGUCGUCGCUGCCAUGUUUGAUCCCUCUUCUGGUCGCGGCUAUAGAAUCAUCUCCAUAGGGAAAAACCACCGUCGCAGUAUAUCAGAUCGCCGCUACAGUACCGUCGCCCUAGGGAGAUCUGGUCGCCGCUAUAGUAUCGUCGCCCUUGGGGAGAAGCCGACGCUGCAGGAGAUCCGAUCACCACUACAGUAAGGGAGAUCAGAUCGUUGCUAUAGUAUCGUCGUCCGUGGGAGAAAGCCAACGCUGCAGGAGUCAGAUCGCCCUAGGGAGAUCUCGUCGCCGCUACAGUGUCGUCGCCGCUACAGUACUGUCGCUGCUACAGUGUCGUCGCCGCCGCUACAGUACGUCGCCCUUGGGAAACAGCCGACGCUGCAGGAAAUCAGAUCGCCGCUACAGUGUCGUCGCCUGUCGCCCGUGGG